rnacentral:lncRNA from 1 species
UAGCCAUGUUCUCCACAAUUUUCCUUUGUGUCCUUGUAGCUGCCAGAUGGGGCUGAAACAAAUAACACUCAUAUUGCUUUGUGGCUAUAUCUGUUUCAGAUACAGAGGGUGCUAAUAAUCUACAAUUCAUUUUGCUCCCUUCAUUCUCCACCAAUUGCUCUCAGCCCAAGGUCUGAGACUUAAGAAGAAGGAAGAAGAAAAUAACAGGAUCCCUUUGCUAACAAGGCUUCAGUGUGUGUACUGUUUUUAUUCUAUACAUGCUUUGUAAUAAAUUUUCUCUACAUUGAAGCAGCUAUGAUAGAAUGAAAUGGUGAGUUGGACCUGGAAUGAAGAAGACCUGAGUUCAAAUCCAACCUCAGAUACUUACCAGCUAUAAAAUCCUGGGCAAGUCACUUAAUCUAUGUUUGCCUCAGUUUCCUCAUCUGUAAAGUAGGGAUAUUAAUAGUACCUACCAU